AACAGCUCAAAUUUGAAAUCCGGCCCCUCCGCGGGGCCCGAGUUGUAAUUUGCAGAGGGUGUUUCGGGGCGCGGCGCCCGCCUAAGUUCCUUGGAACAGGACGUCGCAGAGGGUGAGAAUCCCGUAUGCGGCGGGCGACUGACGCCCCGCGCGAAACCCCUUCGACGAGUCGAGUUGUUUGGGAAUGCAGCUCAAAACGGGUGGUAAAUUUCAUCUAAAGCUAAAUACCGGCCAGAGACCGAUAGCGCACAAGUAGAGUGAUCGAAAGAUGAAAAGCACUUUGGAAAGAGAGUCAAACAGUACGUGAAAUUGUUGAAAGGGAAGCGCUGGCGACCAGACCUGCCCGCGGGCGAUCAGCCGCCAUUCGUUUUUGGCGGUGAAGUCGGCCGCGGACAGGCCAGCAUCGGUUCGGGCGGCCGGACAAAGCGCCCGGGAACGUAGCUCCCCCCGGGGAGCCUUAUAGCCCGGGCCGCAAUGCGGCCAGCCCGGACCGAGGACCGCGCUCCGGCUAGGAUGCUGGCGUAAUGGUCGUCAGCGACCCGUCUUGAAACACGGACCAAGGAGUCUAACAUCUAUGCGAGUGUUUGGGUGUCAAACCCACGCGCGGAAUGAAAGUGAACGGAGGUGGGAGCCGUCGCUCAGGCGGCGCACCAUCGACCGAUCCAGAUGUCUUCGGAUGGAUUUGAGUACGAGCAUAGCUGUUGGGACCCGAAAGAUGGUGAACUAUGCCUGAAUAGGGUGAAGCCAGAGGAAACUCUGGUGGAGGCUCGCAGCGGUUCUGACGUGCAAAUCGAUCGUCAAAUUUGGGUAUAGGGGCGAAAGACUAAUCGAACCAUCUAGUAGCUGGGUUCUG
rnacentral:rRNA from 1 species